AUGAAGACUGAGGAUGCUGAGCAACCAAGAACCAGGAGCAGGGCUCAGAGCCCCGGAGAUGGAGUGACAAGGACACUGGGGGCCGGGCCCCGGAACUGCGGUGCUCCAUGCCCGCCCUGCUGCUCUGGGACAGAGCACCGUCGGCCUCCCCAGGAUCCCACCCAGCGGGAGCGCUGCAAGGACCAGGCUUGGACUGUGCUGGGUGGGCAACCCAGCGUGUGGGUUUCAGAGGCAACUAAGCAGACCAGAUGUUUCAUCUCACCCUGGAGCAAAGAGACCACCUUCCUCCAAAAAAGGAGAUUUCCCACCCAAGUCAGGGAGGUGGCUGCGGCUCAGCGUCCCGCUGCCGCACACAGGUACUCCCCCACUGCCCUCGCCAGCCCUCCCCCCAGGCAGGAUUCGCUCACCAGUAUCCCGUCUCCUCCUAGUAUUUCCCGUCUCCUCCUAGUAUUAGUUAAGAUCAGCAUUCGGUCAUGGCUGCUGCAGCCAGGUCUGGGCUAGGCCCUGAGCACACAGGAAUUCAUCAGGCGUUGGCCCUGUGUUUGAGAAGGUCAUGACCUAUGAGAAGAAGGAUGACGACACCCUGGGAAUGGCUGUGAGGGAGACUUAAAAUGUGGCUACUGUGCUGAGCAAUCGAGGCUGCUUCUCCAGGUCGCUGCUGGAGGCAGGAGUCAGGAGCAGGUGGAGGUCCAGGAAGAGGGUUUCAGGAACAGAGGGCACCUGACAUGGGUCUUAGAGGAAGAUGGGUCAGCUGUUUCGAGGGAAGGGGGCAAGGCUGGGCUCCAGUGGAGAAGCAGUGAGGCCUUCCCUCCGUGUUCCCACAGUGCAAUGGGAAUGGGGGCAGUGCGUUUGCCGUUUCCCUUUAAGGCCCUCUGCAAAGGGUCUCAGACGUCAGAGCUUUUAAUGGUGCCACCCCUGCGUCCCCAGCAGGCAACAGGUGGGCCCAGGAGUGGAUACCCUCUGUGCGCAGCGCUGUCUCCUAUUGACUGUCAGAGGGCCUCUUCAUGUCAGCAUUUUCUGAAUGUGCCGUGAUGUCAGUGAAACUGGUGGGAGUCUUGAGAGACUGAGGCACUCACCUCUAACCUGCGAGGCCUCCCUCCAGUUGUUGGUUCCCGUGACACCUGAACCCUUAGAGGCAGUGAGGCAGGGGUGGAGAAUGAAGGUGGGAGAAGGGGAAAUGGGCCCGUUGAAAUCAGAGACGGGCUCACAGGCCCCAAAUACCAGUGUCUAGUAUGCACCUGUCAGCUCAGUGUCAAGAGCCUGGCACGUGGGCCGAUCCAGGGGUCCAAGUCCUCCUCUCCUGGGGCCUGGCCAGGACUGAGACCCCAGGAUGUUUGUCAGCCACCACAGCUCACACAGGUCUUAGCCUGCCUGGGGCUCCCCGGCGAAGGAGCGGAACUCAGCCGCUUCCAGCUCCGCCUCGCCAGGCUGAAGGAGCGCGAGUGCUCUGGGGAGCGGUGGCCCUGCUCCCCUCGCUGAGGUUAGACGUGCUGCCGCUCUUCCCACUCUUCGGCGGCUGAGCUCUGCUCGGGGGUCCAGAUCACCAGGGACGGGCAGCACCCAGCAUGCUGGCCGGUGACCUCAGUCCCCUCCCUAGAUGGAUACUGGCAACGUCCACGUUCAAAACCAUGCACGUGUGCCCCCACUCUUGGACAGAAGCACACCCCUUCUCGCGUGAUUUCCCACAGCGCGAAGGCCUCAGCCCAAGCCGCGUGUGGCCACCCCCCUGCCCCGCCGACAGAGCCGCGGGGGCGGGCGGAAGAGGGCCCGGCCCUCUGCGCCACCAGGGGAAGGAGGCUGAGCGCGGGAGCUGUCGAGCCCCUUCUUUCUGGAACACGCCGAGCGCUUUGGGGCCAGGCGGACUGCCGGCGGAGGGCACUGGGGAUGGAGGCUCCCCUGUGAUGGUGGCGUGUGUUCUUAUGUGUUUGUUGGUUACGUGUGUCUUGAAAUUAGGAAUCAUUUCGCACAGAAUCGUCGCUUUGUCGGGAAGAGAAAAUGGGCUAGAAGCAGCCCCGUCUUCGGUUUCGGGCUCUGUUACACUUAAAAUUGAUGUUUAAUUUUUCAAAUCACUGUUGGUGCCUAAUCACUUAAGUUAUUAAUUUAUUCUGUUUUCUUUUAAAAACAAAUCGAUAACCUGUAUUUAUCCUGCGAGGAGGUCUGGGGGGGCUGGGAACGUGUUCACGCGGGUCCUGUGUUGGCUGUGGUGACACAUGGUACAGGCCUGGAGCUUGCAGGUCCCUUUUUACUGUGGUCUCGGAGCUGGACAACAAUAAAGUCCAUUAGAAGCAACCA
rnacentral:lncRNA from 1 species